rnacentral:sRNA from 1 species
GGAAAGGUUAGUGAAAAACAACAGAAAAUGACUGAGACACAAAGGUCAUUUGGACAUAUAAGACGUUAGGACAAAUGUCCCAGAAAGGUUAAAGACCCACAGUGAUCAAAGAUGGAGGCCAUGUGUUUUGAUGUCAUAAGCUGGGCAUAGUGGAACACAAUCCAGCAUUCUGGAACAGAAGUGGAAUUCUGUGCAAACCUGGGCUACAAAAAGAGGGUUGGAAGUAAGGAAGUAGGAAUGAAGAGGUGAGGAUAAAGGGAGAAAUGAGGGAGGAGGAAAAGAAGAACACACACAUUGGAGCAGCAGAACUCCGUCUCACAUUCCACUAGAGCUGAACCAGUCUUGUGACUACACACCUACCUGCAGAGAAGGGCCAGGAAACAUGGUCUAUGUGCCUAAGAGGAUGGAGAACAGGACGGGCUCGCAGCUGCGGCUCCAGUGUCCUGCCUGACAGUCUGCCUACUGCCAUACUUCCCCGCUGAGGAUCACGGAGAAACCCCUGAAAUGCAUGGAGACAAAGAAAGCCUACAUGUCCAGAUCUCAUCAGAGAAUACUACAAUAUGAAAGACCAAGACAGCAUCGUCCCUCCAGAACUGACCAGUUCUGUAGAAAGGUUUAACUACGAACCCCAGGACACUGAACUCAGAAGAACAAUCAUAAACCACAUCAAAGAACUCAAGGAGUUUCAGGAAGACACAAGCAGCUCAGCGAGAUCAAGGAGAAGGAGCUUAAGAAGAAUAAACCUCUGAGUGAGUGUUGCCCACGACAAGGCUGACAGAAAUACCAAAGACAAUACCAGACAGGAAAACGGAGUAAUAAAUAAAAAUACUGAAGAGAACUCAAGCUGAAAUGAAGACGGAACUGAAAUGAAAGAAUCAAACUAGAAGACUCAAAGAAAAGCCUUGCGAUCUUAAUCAUCAGAACAUAGAAUAUCAGGUCUCGAAGUUAAAAGAGGCUCUAGAUCAAAUAAGCAGGAAUGAUGAAAAAGACAUUAAAAACACAAAAGGAACACAGAAAAUGUGGGACAGCAAUAAAAACCAAACCUUUGGAUUACAGGCAGAAGAGGUAAACUAUAAGCCAGCCCCAGUUAAAUGAUUGCCUUUUAUAAGAGUUGCCUUGGUCACGGUGUCUCUUCACAGCAAUAGAACCCUAACUAAGACAGCACCUAACAACAAAGCAGAGAGCUAGUUACAAAGCUAACUGGAUGAGCUGUCCCUGGGUGGACAGGGGAUUAUCACCCCAAUCCAGUCACUGUGUAGAACAAGUCUUUCCUUGCAUUCCCUCCAGUGUUUCCUCCCUGUGAUAACAAUUGCCCUGGCUAUUUUGGCUUGUUUGAAAUGUUUAUGUAAAGGAACUCUAGGAGACACACUGCUGAACCCAGCUUCUGGCCUUCGGUGCUAUGUAAAGUUCAACCAUGCUGCUGGAUCUGGCAGUAGGCCACUUACCCCACUAGUGGAUUAUCUAACUAGUUCACACGUUCCUCCUGUUAGACAUUCAGGCUGCUGCCAGCUCAACACUCCCGUACCAACGCUGCUUAUAAACAAGCAUGCAAUGGUUUCAAAUUAAUGUUAGAAGACCUCUGUUUCAUAAGCAAGGAUUUUAGAACUUUAUUUACUUCUAUGUAUGUGUGUGUGCCUGGUAAACCUAGGUGCUGGUGCCAGAGGUCAGAGGCCAUCAGAUAUCCUGGAGCUAGAGUUACAGAUGGUUGUAAGCUGCCGGACAGGAGUCCUCUGGAAGAGCAGUAAGUGCUGUGCUCCUGAGCCCUCUCUCCAGCCCCUUAAAAUCGUGUAUAUGGGGUAGGUUUUUAACUAAAUCCAGUGUUAGGAACAACAGCUGCAUUUGCGAUUUCUACACUUUUCUACAAAUGCCAAUGUGUCCAUUAAAGUCAGGCAUGAAUAUAAAACCACUUUGGGAAGACACAUGGAUGGCUGUAAGCACUGGUCGACUCUUGGGAGGCUGACGAAGGAAGAAAACUUGUUUUCCCUGAAUAGAAAUCAGCACAACAGCAAGAACCACCUGUGACUUUGUCGGUAACAAAAAUCGCUGGUCUAUUCAAACCAGGUGUGGUAGUUUGAAUACGGCGUCCUUAGUCGCAGGCAUUUGAAUGCUUAGUCUCUAGUUGGCGAUGCUGUUUGGGGAGGCUUAAAGGUGGGACCUUAUUGGAAAAGGUAUGUUACUAGAGUUUUAAGAGUUUAAAAGACUGCCAUUUUGGGACCCCUUUCUCUUCUCUCUGCUUUGUCCAUGCAAUUAAAGAUUUAGCUCUCAACUUGCUGCUCCAGGCACCAUGCCUGCCAACUUCUCUGCCAUUACUGACCUUACAUACUUCAGGUACUGUGAACCAAAACAAGUCCUUCCUGUGUAAACUGCCUCAGCCAUGGUGUUUUAUCAGAGAAGCCGAAAGUGGCUAGUAUAGCAGAUUAUAGCCAUCGGUCCACACAUCUGAUCAUGAUACUCAUCACCAACUCUAGCAAACCCUUCCACGAGAUCUGGAUAUCUAGCCACUGACUGCUAUAGCUUCUACCUCCUGUAGGGGUCAUCUCUUAUGUACUGUGUGGAAGCAUACAUGUCAAUCAAUGAAAAGCCUGUGGCCUGUAGGAAAGAGUAGAACAGGGAGGGGUAUCUCCAGCACAGAGGGGGACCUAUGGGAAAGAGUCAAGCAUGGGAAGAUCCCAAACACUAGCCUUACAUGCUGGUAUAAAACACAGAAAUACCCGACAGGAAGACUUCAUGUCACUAGUAGCAUGUUUUAAAAGAUGGCAGUGGGGCUGGGGAUUUAGCUCAGCGGUAGAGCGCUUGCCUAGGAAGCGCAAGGCCCUGGGUUCGGUCCCCAGCUCUGAAAAAAAGAACCAAAAAAAAGAUGGCAGCACCCACCACCUGCCCUUUUUCUACCCCCCCCCCUUUUUUUGAGAUGUUUGGGAUCAGUCCAGAGGACCAGAAAUGUUAGGCAAGCACUAACUACAUUACACCCUCAGGUCUUCUACUCUAAUUCUCAGCCCAUUCUAGGAAAUCUGUGCUCUAAACACCAAUUGCCUAUCCUUUUACCAAAAGGAUGGCCUUAGACCUCAAGCAUUAUCCCUUGUUCCCCACCCCCAUUUCUUUUAAACCACUUCCCCUCUCAGUUUUCACUUCCUGAUGAGGUCAUUUCACCAUACACUAACUCAAUGAUCCUAAGUCAGACUCUUCAGUAUCAGCCUGGGCCAGUCAUGCAUCUUGCAAUCUUAAAUCAAUACACUCUGCUACUCACAUCGGUAAUUUAAAGCUACUCAGUUAAGCAACCACACACCAACCCACAUCUUUCAGAUCAAUGCCCAGCUGGUAAAAUAAAAUUUCUAUUCAAGAGAUAUAUUCUUGGUGGGAAACAGAACUUAAAAUCAUAUCCAUAAAAUAAAUCUUUAAAAAGAUUUUUGGGGGGGGUUAGGGAUUUA